UGGUUUUAGUCCUGGAGAUGGGCACGCAGU
rnacentral:piRNA from 1 species